rnacentral:rRNA from 1 species
ACUAGUCGAGUGACACUGCGCCGAAAAUGUACCGGGGCUAAACAUAUUACCGAAGCUGUGGAUUGUCCUUUGGACAAUGGCAGGAGAGCGUUCUAAGGGCGUUGAAGCAUGAUCGUAAGGACAUGUGGAGCGCUUAGAAGUGAGAAUGCCGGUGUGAGUAGCGAAAGACGGGUGAGAAUCCCGUCCACCGAUUGACUAAGGUUUCCAGAGGAAGGCUCGUCCGCUCUGGGUUAGUCGGGUCCUAAGCUGAGGCCGACAGGCGUAGGCGAUGGAUAACAGGUUGAUAUUCCUGUACCACCUAUAAUCGUUUUAAUCGAUGGGGGGACGCAGUAGGAUAGGCGAAGCGUGCGAUUGGAUUGCACGUCUAAGCAGUAAGGCUGAGUA